UGCCAGCCGCCGCGGUAAUACGGAGGGGGUUAGCGUUGUUCGGAAUUACUGGGCGUAAAGCGCGCGUAGGCGGAUUGGAAAGUUGGGGGUGAAAUCCCGGGGCUCAACCCCGGAACUGCCUCCAAAACUGCCAGUCUAGAGGAUGUGAGAGGUGAACAGAACUUAUGGUGUAGGGGUGAAAUCCGUUGAUAUCAUAGGGAAUACCAAAUGCGAAGGCAGUUCACUGGCACAUUCCUGACACUGAGGCAUGAAAGCUAGGGUAGCGAACGGGAUUAGAUA
rnacentral:rRNA from 1 species